UACAGGGGGGGCAAGCGUUGUUCGGAAUUACUGGGCGUAAAGGGCGCGUAGGCGGCCAGCACAAGUCAGUUGUGAAAUCUCCGGGCUUAACUCGGAAAGGUCAACUGAUACUGUGCGGCUAGAGUGCAGAAGGGGCAACUGGAAUUCUCGGUGUAGCGGUGAAAUGCGUAGAUAUCGAGAGGAACAUCUGCGGCGAAGGCGGGUUGCUGGGCUGACACUGACGCUGAUGCGCGAAAGCCAGGGGAGCGAACGGG
rnacentral:rRNA from 1 species